rnacentral:rRNA from 1 species
GAGCGACUGCGGAGGACA